rnacentral:rRNA from 1 species
UACGUAGGGUGCAAGCGUUGUCCGGAAUUAUUGGGCGUAAAGAGCGUGUAGGCGGCCAAACAGGUCCGUUGUGAAAACUGGAGGCUCAACCUCCAGACGUCGACGGAAACCGUAUGGCUAGAGUCCGGAAGAGGAGAGUGGAAUUCCUGGUGUAGCGGUGAAAUGCGCAGAUAUCAGGAAGAACACCAAUGGCGAAGGCAGCUCUCUGGGACGGUACUGACGCUGAGACGCGAAAGCGUGGGGAGCGAACAGG